CGCACAUUGCGCCCUUUGGCAUUCCGAAGGGCAUGCCUGUUCGAGCGUCAUUACACCAAUCACGCCUGGCGUGGUAUUGGGCGAUGGGAGCAACCCCACGCCCCAAUGACUACCGGCGGGACGGACCGAAUCUCAGCGUUGUGAAUCAAAAGCCGCUGGCGAGACGGGACGGCCGUGCCGUUAAACAACCCCAUCACAGGUUGACCUCGGAUCAGGUAGGGAUACCCGCUGAACUUAA
rnacentral:misc_RNA from 1 species